AGGGAGAUUAAAAAAUACAGCCAAACUAUUCAUAAAUGGUAGAAUAUAAUUUCAUAUGAUUCACUAUUGUCAUAUAAUCCUAAGUAAUAUACUAUCAGCAAUGAAAGGGAAGAGUAGCUGAAGCAUUUUAAAGAAGAGAUAUAAUUAUAUAUAAAUAAUAUUAUAUAUAAUUAUAUAUAAUAUAUAAUUAUAUAUUAAAUCAUUUUUCUAGGAUCCUAGAAUGUGACAAGACAGAAAAACAAAAGGAAACAGCAGUAUAUUAUAAUAAAUAGCUAGUAAUACAAAGCUCAAGCUACUUCACAGCCCACCAUUAUCCUUAAUUAUGCCAACAGUUAAUAAGAAAAGUAUUUUAUUUGCAAUAUUACAUAUCUGUGGGAAAGUCAUAAAGCUGAAUACAAUGACGAGUCUAGAUAAUUCUCAAAACCUGGCUUUCAUGUAACCUCAGAGCUCCUCUUUUCUUGAAAAUAAAAAAAAUGACCACAGU
rnacentral:lncRNA from 1 species